rnacentral:tRNA from 1 species
GCUCGCAUAGCUCAGCUGGAUAGAGCAUUGAACUUGGGUUCAGGGGUCGUAGGUUCAAAUCCUGCUGCGAGCC